rnacentral:rRNA from 1 species
GUUGGGGAUAUUGCUCAAUGGAGGGAACUCUGAAGCAGCGACGCCGCGUGAAGGAUGAAGGUUUUCGGAUUGUAAACUUCUUUGACCGGGGACGAUAAUGACGGUACCCGGAAAACAAGCCACGGCUAACUACGUGCCAGCAGCCGCGGUAAUACGUAGGUGGCGAGCGUUGUCCGGAAUUACUGGGUGUAAAGGGCGUGCAGGCGGUUAUAUAAGUCAGGUGUGAAAUCCCGCGGCUCAACUGCGGAAUUGCAUCUGAAACUAUAUAUCUUGAGUGUCGGAGAGGAAAGCGGAAUUCCUAGUGUAGCGGUAAAAUGCGUAGAUAUUAGGAGGAACACCAGUGGCGAAGGCGGCUUUCUGGACGACAACUGACGCUGAGGCGCGAAAGCGUGGGGAGCAAACAGGAUUAGAAACCCCAGUAGUCC